rnacentral:pre_miRNA from 1 species
GGAGUACUUCUUCGUCCGGAAAUACUUGUCGAAGAAAUGAAUGUAUCUAGACGUAUUUUAGGUCUAGAUACAUCUAUUUUUAUCCAUUUUUUUAGUAAGUAUUUCGAGAUGAAGAGAGUACUAC